rnacentral:rRNA from 1 species
UACGAAGGGGGCUAGCGUUGUUCGGAAUUACUGGGCGUAAAGCGUGCGCAGGCGGCUUCUCAAGUCAGGGGUGAAAGCCCAGAGCUCAACUCUGGAACUGCCUUUGAGACUGAGAGGCUUGAGUACGGGAGAGGUGAGGUGGAAUUCCCGAGUGUAGAGGUGAAAUUCGUAGAUAUUGGGAAGAACACCGGUGGCGAAGGCGGCUCACUGGCCCGUAACUGACGCUCAUGCACGACAGCGUGGGGAUCAAACAGG